rnacentral:rRNA from 1 species
GACGAACGCUGGCGGCGUGCUUAACACAUGCAAGUCGAACGGAAAGGCCUGCUUUCCCUUGUGGAUUGCGGGUACUCGAGUGGCGAACGGGUGAGUAACACGUGAGUGAUCUGCCCCCAACUUGGGUAUAAGCCUGGGAAACUGGGUCUAAUUCCCGAUAGGACUGCAGGGUGGUGCCUGUGGUGGAAAACGAUUUUCUAGUGGUUGGGGAUGAGCUCGCGGCCUAUCAGCUUGUUGGUGGGGUAAUGGCCUACCAAGGCGGCGACGGGUAGCCGGCCUGAGAGGGUGGACGGCGACAUUGGGACUGGGAUACGGCCCAGACUCCUGCGGGAGGCAGCGGAGGGGAAUAUUGGACAAUGGGCGGAAGCCUGAUGCAGCGACGCCGCGUGGGGGAUGACGGCCUUCGGGUUGUAAACUCCUUUCGACCGAGAGGAAGCCACCUGGUUGGAAGGGUGGUGACGGUAGUGGUAGAAGAAGCACCGGCUAACUACGUG